GUGCUCGUUUUGGCAGCACAUAUACUAAAAUUGGAACAAUAUAGAGAAGAUUAGCACGGCCCCUGUGCAAGGAUGACAUGCAAAUUCGUGAAGCGUUCCAUAUUUUU
ensembl:snRNA U6 U6 spliceosomal RNA